rnacentral:lncRNA from 1 species
GAGAGGGGAAGACUUUCACUUGAAGAUGGGAGGUCGUCCGGAAGCCAUGCUCGGCUAAACGUCCAAUCUAGGGCUGGAUGAAGCCCUAGCAAUGUAUCAGGGCAAUUGUAGUUCUUACUUUUUUAUUAUUUUGGAGCUUAUUUAAAUUCUUAUUUUCAAUAAAAUAUUUCUUUAUGAUAUUUAAACUUUGAGCAUGCUAGUUACUAAUCAUAUUUGCUAAAGUAGUCUAAGAUGAUCCAUGCCUAGGAAGAUGAAGUGUGCUGCAUCCUAGAUUAACAUACUUAGGUAGACACUUCAUGCUACACCGAAGAUGGAUCUUCCUAACACUCUUUAUGAUUUUAUUUUAAAAUGCAUGUAGCCAAAUUGCAUGCCUCUCCAAAAGACAAAAAUUAAGAACACAGUCCUUGAUGCAAUGCUAUGUGGUGGAUUCCAAACCCUAGAUCUAUUUACUCUGAUAAAUUCUAAUUCACACUCA